rnacentral:rRNA from 1 species
UGAAUACGAGACGCUAAGGCGUCGAAGUAGUGUAUGUCAUACUUCCAAGAAAAGCUUGCACUGUCAUAGAUAAAAAACGCCUGUACCAUAACCGACACAGGUGGGUAGGUAGAGUAUACUAAGGGGCGCGAGAUAACUCUCUCUAAGGAACUCGGCAAAAUAACUCCGUAACUUCGGGAGAAGGAGUGCCUUAUUCGUAAGGUUGCAAUAACAAGAUCCAAGCAACUGUUUAUCAAAAACACAGGUCUCCGCUAAGUCGUAAGACGAUGUAUGGGGGCUGACGCCUGCCCAGUGCCAGAAGGUUAAAGAAGUUGGUUAGCAAUUGCGAAGCUGAUAACUGAAGCCCUGGUGAACGGCGGCCGUAACGAUAACGGUCCUAAGGUAGCGAAAUUCCUUGUCGGGUAAGUUCCGACCCGCACGAAAGGCGUAAUGAUUUGGAUACUGUCUCGGAGAGGGGCUCGGUGAAAUAGACUUGUCUGUGAAGAUGCGGACUACCUGCACCAGGACAGAAAGACCCUAUGAAGCUUUACUGUAACUUGAAAUUGAAAUUGGACUUUAUUCGCGCAGUAUAGGUGGGAGGCGUUGAUUAUAAUCUUGUGGGAUUAUUGGAGCCAUCAGUGAGAUACCACUCUUGUAAUGUUAGAUUUCUAACUUUGAAUCAUUAUCUGGUCAAAGAACAGUUUCAGGCGGGCAGUUUGACUGGGGCGGUCGCCUCCUAAACGGUAACGGAGGCGUACAAAGGUUUCCUCUGAACGGUUAGAAAUCGUAUCUAGAGUGUAAAGGCAUAAGGAAGCUUGACUGUGAGACCUACAAGUCGAGCAGGGACGAAAGUCGGUCUUAGUGAUCUGACGGUACUGAGUGGAAAGGCCGUCACUCAACGGAUAAAAGUUACUCUAAGGAUAACAGGCUGAUCUCCCCCAAGAGUUCACAUCGACGGGGAGGUUUGGCACCUCGAUGUCGGCUCAUCGCAUCCUGGGGCGGUAGUACGUCCCAAGGGUUGGGCUGUUCGCCCAUGAAAGCGGUACGCGAGCUGGGUUCAGAACGUCGUGAUACAGUUCAGUCCAUAUCCGGUGUAGGCGUUGGAAUAUUGAGAGGAGCCUUCUUUAGUACGAGAGGACCGAGAAGGACAUACCUCUGGUGUACCAGUUAUCGUGCCAACGGUAAACGCUGGGUAGCUAUGUAUGGAGUGGAUAACCGCUGAAAGCAUCUAAGUGGGAAGCCCACCUCAAGAUAAGUAUUCUCAUC